GAGGGUGCCAUGUCAAGAGUUACUUGCAAAAUAAUAUCUCGCACCACACACAAUAAACUCAACAUGGCAAUACUGUGACAGCUAUUAAGUAAAUAAUAAUAAUAACAAAACAUAUAUUACAACAACAAACCCUUUUGCCGCAAGCAGGUUGGGGUAGCUAGCAAAACAUAUAUUAGGCAAUCAAAAUAGAAAAACACAACAACCUAUUUGGGAGUAGAACUUCAUGAGCAGAUCAAACUGAAGAGUGAUUAUCUCAAGCUUGUAGAAACUAUGCAAAUGGAAACUAU